CCUACGGGAGGCAGCAGUGGGGAAUAUUGGACGAUGGGGGGAACCCUGAUCCAGCCAUGCCGCGUGUGUGAAGAAGGCCCUCGGGUUGUAAAGCACUUUCAGUGAGGAAGAACGCCUGGUGGUUAAUACCCAUCAGGAAAGACAUCACUCACAGAAGAAGCACCGGCUAACUCCGUGCCAGCAGCCGCGGUAAUACGGAGGGUGCGAGCGUUAAUCGGAAUUACUGGGCGUAAAGCGCGCGUAGGUGGCUUGAUAAGCCGGUUGUGAAAGCCCCGGGCUCAACCUGGGAACGGCAUCCGGAACUGUCAAGCUAGAGUGCAGGAGAGGAAGGUAGAAUUCCCGGUGUAGCGGUGAAAUGCGUAGAGAUCGGGAGGAAUACCAGUGGCGAAGGCGGCCUUCUGGACUGACACUGACACUGAGGUGCGAAAGCGUGGGUAGCAAACAGGAUUAGAUACCCCUGUAGUC
rnacentral:rRNA from 1 species